GGAGCUGACUGAUAGCAUUAAAACCAGUAGACACUGAGGAAUUUGAUUUUUUGCAGCAAGACUAGAAGGGUUAUGUUUCAAUAGGGUCACAGCAUGGAUGAAUUGUCUGCAGGUAACCUUCACUCUGAGAACAGAAAGAUGGCAAUAUAGUUAGAGCCCAUUGCAUAAGCAGUUCCCCCUUGUUAUCCCAACAGGAGGACAGACUGUACCCAUACAGAUACCCAAAAUGAGGAAACAGUAACAGUGGACCAUAACCUGACCUCAAAAUGAUAGAGGUUGAAGUAAGCAAGAUUCUGAGGCAAAAGACUGUGCUAUAAUUGUUCGACUUGUAAAAGGGUUAAAAAGCCAGUCCAAAAACCAGUUCAUUGUCAGCAAUCAAGAGGAACCUAGGAGAUGUAGCAAGGUCUUGAUACCAAUCAUCACUUGUCCUCCAUGCUCGUACAAGGGAUCUUGACCAGACCACAGAGAUCUUCGCCAGACCAGAGAUACACACAUCCUGGUGCCUUGAUAACCUGUCUCUGUUGAAAUCUGUGGGAAUUUACAAUUGAUUUUAACUCAGCAAAAUGUACCAUCUCCUGACAUUGGAAGAAGACUGACUGAAGAGCUUAAGGCAAGGACAGUUUGCCUCAAACCAAGAGAUAUCGAUCUUGAUUUUGUGAUGCAAAUCUUGAACAAUUCAGUCAAAUGUUUUCAACUUCCUCUGUCAUGGGUCAAUGGCAAAGUCUCAAUUGACUUCUACAAAUGUAGGCACAGAUGUGAGAGGUCCGUUUCAUGAUGCAUGUGUAAACAGCUGAAAA